UUGCCAUGCUAAGUGUUCCUGAAUAAACCUGCUUGAAGAAGGACAACGUGGUGUUGCGUCUUUCGUGCUGGUCGGGGUGGAUGCGACAUUCUCUCAAAUUUUUGCCACCCAGGGAGAUGGGUCCUUUUGGAAGUAGAGAUGGUGCCAGUCACAGCUUGGUGAUGAGACGGUUAUUGAGCUGUCCUCUCCUCAGUGAAGCAUACCAGACAGACCUCUGACCAGAUUGCCUCCCAUGGCAGACAUUGCUAAUUGAUAACAAUCCUCUGCCCUCUACGUCUAGUCCUGAAUUUCAGUUCUUCCUCCAUUACUGGGCAGUACCAAUCACAAAUGAGUGUCUUCCCACUGCGAAGAAAGGGGAAGGAGAAUUAGCAGCUUCCUGUCUGAGGACUUCCACUGGAAUUGAUUUAUCCUGGCAGAAAGAAACCAGCAUUUUCCUUCCAAAUUAAUAUGCAAAUAAGUGAAUGAAGAGAGCAGCAAAGCACCUGUCUUUGUGGGUUUCGUCUGGAGUAGAGUCCACGUGCCUGCAAAGCAGCCCCUGUGCCUCUUGGUGCUGCAGAGCUUUUCCUGGACUGGGCUUCAAGGGGAAAAGCUGCAAGUGAGCAGCACUCUCUGUGGCCAGACUCAGAAGUCCAUGAGCAAAGCUAACCCGGUCUCAAGAGAAUGAACCUGAUUUCCUGAGAACAACAUUGAACUCUCUGAAGGAAUGAAUAGCCCUUAACAGCAUCCUCUUCAAAUACUGCUGCAAUGUCAAUAUGAUUUUCAAAGUGGAGAAGCCACAGUGGAAGAACAACAAGGGCUUCCUUUAAACUGAGUGGAUGAUUUGAACUUGAAACUCAGAGGUUAAGAAGGAGCCAGGACAUAUACCCAAAAGAUGCCCCACCAUACCACAGGGGAUGACAAAUAAGCACCAGGAAGCCCAGUUAGCCAAAGACGACAGUUCCAGUGCAUACCAUUAGUACCCAUGAGAGCUAAGAAUGAAAGAAUUACAAUAAAACACAAUUAAACAAGUGAAGGAAAUGAACAAAACAUCCAAGAUCAAAAAAAUGGAAGUAGAAAAAAAUAAUGAAAUCACAAAGGGAGACAACCCUGGAGAUAGAAAAUCUAAGAAAGAGAUCAGGAGUCACAGAUGCAAGCAUCCAUUGCCAACAGAAUACAAGAGAUAGAAGAGAGAAUCUCAUGGACAGAACAUACCAUAGAAAACAUUGACACAACAGCCAAAGAAAAUGCAAAAUGCAAAAAGCUCCUAACCCCAAAAUGUCCAGGAAAUCCAGGACACAAUGAGAAGACCAAACCUAAGGAUAAUAGGUAUAGAAGAGAAUGAAGAUUCCCAACUUAACGGGCCAGUAAGUAUCUUCAAUAAAAUUAUAGAAGAAUCUUCCCUAACCU
rnacentral:lncRNA from 1 species